rnacentral:rRNA from 1 species
GCAAGUCGAGCGAGAAGCCAUCUUCGGGUGGUGGAGAGCGGCGAACGAGUGAGUAACGCGUAGGUAUCUACCUAGUAGUGGGGGAUAACCAUUGGAAACGAUGGCUAAAACCGCAUACGCCCUGAGGGGGAAAACUGAGGUGCUAUUAGAGGAGCCUGCGUUAGAUUAGCUAGUUGGUGAGGUAAUGGCUCACCAAGGCGACGAUCUAUAGCUGGUUUGAGAGGACGAUC